AGUUACUUAUAAACUACUCCGGAUUGUUUCAAGCUAUGCCUCAAAAACAGAGGAUGAAGAAAACCACUACCAGGAAGACAAUGCAACUUGGAGCAGAACCAAGGCCCACUUCUACCAAAGAACCGCAGACUCAGGUACAUUAUACCACCAGCGAUACAGAACAGGAAACUGCGGCAACAUCGGACGUUCCUAAAGGAAAAACAAAGUGAAGGUGUAUUUUACUCAACCAGCAAGUUCUAAUUGCCGUCAUGUGUGGCCUAGCUGACCAAGAACUGAGGUUGAAAACACAAAGCAACUGAAUAAACAUCAAAAGGAAUGUACGUGUUGACCUCAGGACGCUUCAGAAUGAACAUGAACUUCCACAUACUGUUAGAUUUAAUUCUUUAUCUGAAGGUUUACAUCUAACAUUACCAUCAAUGCAUGCAAUCUGAAUAAAAAUAUUUAAAAGUUGAUAAAUAUAAAUGAGCAAAAGUGAAAGAUGUUGAAGAUCUUUAUCACUUUUUGGAAAAUUUAAACUCUAGUUCUGAUAGAUUGUUUUGAAACCUCAGCCUUUGUCUUCAAUGUGAUAAAAUUGUGAACCUUCCUGCAACUUAAUAAUAUGAUACACCAAAUACAUUCUUAUUUAUUUUUGCUGACUUCCACAAUAAAUUCAAAGCUUCAUUACAACAUCGCAAUGAACGAGGAAAUGCAGAAGCUCCAAUUAAAGCCAAGAAAUUUGUCAUUAUCCAUGCAGAGAAAUAAUGUUAAUUAAAUGCACUUCCUUUACUUCUCACUUCUUGUUAAAUUUGAGAACUUAGUGUGCGUGUUAAAUAAUCAUCUCAAUAUUAGACUGGUGAUAAAACUCUCUUUCCCUUUCCCUAGCCUGAUGAGUAAUUCCAACAUUCUCUGAUUAUAUUUGUUUUUCUGAAAGCAAAUUUUAAUUGUAAACUCAGAAAGCUAUAUUAAUUGUUAGAAUGCUGUCUUGAAAAUAGUUGUAAACAAAAGGUCUAUAUUUAGGAAAAUGCAGUGGAGAAAAUCUGUAAGCAAAAGAAUGCUCUGAAGAAUGUCUUUCUGUCCACAUAAACAAAUCUUAAAACUCAAGCACGAGGAAAUCUGCAGAUGCUGGAAAUUCAAGCAGUACACACAAAAUGCUGGUAGAAUGCAGCAGCCCAGGCAGCAUCUAUAGGGAGAAGCACCGUCGAUGUUUCAGGCCGAGACCCUUCAUCAGGACUCAAAACGUCAUUUGUACUUUUUCCUAUAGAUGCUUAAAACAAUGUUCAUUUUUUCAUUAUUGUUUUAUAAAUAUUACUAUACAUUUUUGGCCUAUUUACUAACAUUCAAAGACAAUUUCAGACAUUUUGUUCAAUAUGAACACUUUUUUUGUCUUUCUAUUUUAGAUACAAUAGAAGUUUAAACCUUCAUUGGGUUGUUGCUAUUUUGUGUGGACAAUCUCAUGUGAAUCCUCAAGAUCUGAGUAUUGAGAAUUUUCUCCAAAUUUCAUUAAAUACGGUGGUUGGACAUACUUGCUCAUCUGUUCAUAGAAAAAUGGAAUCAUCUUAGUCACACUGUACGGUGGCUUGUGUGCUCAACAUUAUGAAGCCUUUCACUAACACUAAUAAAGAUCUUCCCUUCAGAAAAUCAGUUCAUGAACCAACCAACAAAAUCUUAAACACUAUGAUUCAGCAAUGCUAUGAACACUUUGGCCAUUUUACACUAAAAGUGACUUUCUUUUGUUUGAGGCUAGGGGAACACACACAAAAUUCUGGAAGAACUCAGCAGGUCAGUCAGCAUCUAUAGAUUGGAAUAAAGAGCUGAUGAUUCAGGCCAAGACUCUUCAUCAGGAGCCCGAAGAAGGAUCUGGGUCCGAAAUGUUGGUGUUUUAUUCCUUUCCAUAUUAUUCCUUUCCAUAGAUGCUGCCUGAUCUGCUGAAUUCCUCCAGAACUUUUUGUGUGUUACUCUGUGUUUCCAAUUUUGCCAUGGACAGUCCCAGGCCUAGUUGUGAAAGGAGGAGGGUUGGACAUGGGACUAGCAACCCCAUCUAGAGCAACAGAAACACCAACAGAAGCUCCAAAGUCCUCAUCCCUGGGAAAGAAAGGAUCUUCACCUUGAAUAUUCCAAGAAGAUGGACUACAUCUGGGGACAGCUUGAAGGACUGGCCCAGGACAGAGGACUGUGGCAAGCUGCUGUUCUUGGAUUAUGCUCAGAAGUGGUGUUGGGCUAAGGAGAAGGAGAACUCUAUAUUUCCAGCAUCUGCAGAAUCUCUUAUGCUUUUGAUUGUUCUAAUUGCGCUUUCUUGUAGAAAUUUAUGAAUAAUUUAUGCUUUUUUCUUGUGAAAGCUGCUUAUAUAAAUCAAUGUUUAGGUGAUGAUGCUGCAAGGAGGUAUUUCAUUGCACCUGUGCAUACAUGUACUUGUGCAGAUGAUAAUAAAUGACUUUGACUUUGA